AGACGGAUGGUUCCCUUCGGGGACGCCAGGACAGGUGCUGCAUGGCUGUCGUCAGCUCGUGUCGUGAAAUGUUGGGUUAAGUCCCGCAACGAGCGCAACCCUCGCCCUUAGUUGCCAGCAUUUAGUUGGGCACUCUAGGGGGACUGCCGGUGAUAAGCCGAGAGGAAGGUGGGGAUGACGUCAAGUCCUCAUGGCCCUUACGGGCUGGGCUACACACGUGCUACAAUGGCGGUGACAAUGGGCAGCGAACCCGCGAGGGGGAGCUAAUCUCAAAAAGCCGUCUCAGUUCGGAUUGUUCUCUGCAACUCGAGAGCAUGAAGUUGGAAUCGCUAGUAAUCGCGUAACAGCAUGACGCGGUGAAUACGUUCCCGGGCCUUGUACACACCGCCCGUCACACCAUGGGAGUUGGGUUUACCCGAAGGCAGUGCGCUAACCGCAAGGGGGCAGCUGACCACGGUAGGCUCAGCGACUGGGGUGAAGUCGUAACAAGGUAGCCGUAG
rnacentral:rRNA from 1 species